UUUCCGUAGGUGAACCUGCGGAAGGAUCAUUAUCGAGUUUUUGGUUAGGUUGUCGCUGGCCGCAAGGCAUGUGCACACCUACCUCGUCCACUCUCAACUUCUGUGCACUAUCGCAUGUAAGGUUGGCUUUGUGACGGAGGCUGGCUUCGCGGCUGGUCGUCGUUGUAUCGCUGCCUUGUGUGUUUCUUACUACAAACGCUUCAGUUAUAGAAUGUCUUUGUUUGCGGAUAACGCAACUAUAUACAACUUUCAGCAACGGAUCUCUUGGCUCUC
rnacentral:misc_RNA from 1 species